rnacentral:misc_RNA from 1 species
ACAAGGUAGCCGUAGGGGAACCUGCGGCUGGAUCACCUCCUUUCUAAGGAUGAUCCCUCAAGGCUGACAUUCAGUCGGUCUUAUCGGAUCUCUUUUGAACAAUAAGGGCCAGUCAGGCCCUGACAUGCGGGACGCUGCCGUCUUCGUUUCUCUUCUCUCACAUCCAAACAUCGGUUGGUCUGGGAUGGUCCCGUCAGGGAUUGUUCUCAUGGCCGACUGGGCCUGUAGCUCAGGUGGUUAGAGCGCACCCCUGAUAAGGGUGAGGUCGGACGUUCGAGUCGUCCCAGGCCCACCAUUAUCGUGCUGCUCGUUUGAGCAAGGGGCCUUAGCUCAGCUGGGAGAGCGGUAGCUUUGCAAGCUUCAGGUCGUCGGUUCGAUCCCGACAGGCUCCACCACGAUGCCUGCUGUUUGGACGUGUCAAUGAGGUUCGCGCCCUGCCCUUUCUCGGGUUUGGUGGCGCGGAUGUUUGAAAUCGUAAAGAGGCAGCAUAUUCGGCAAGCGGGACAACCUAGUUCCCGCGAACCAGCGACGGCCCGCAGCCGUUGUGCCGGAUAUGCUUGGCAAGCAAAACAUGUCUUUUGGAGAAAUCCGAAAGACAGGUCUUUCUUUGACGAUCUUAUGCCGCUGCCGAGCGGACAUGGAUCGUGAGAGUAAUCAAGUGUCGUAAGAGCAUCUGGUGGAUGCCUUGGCGCUGAGAGGCGAUGAAGGACGUGGUACGCUGCGAUAAGCCUUGGGGAGCUGC